rnacentral:miRNA from 1 species
CACCUCAUUGGCUGGAAGGGAUUCCUUCCGGUAGAAAUAACAACUUAAUUAACCAGAAGGGAUUGAUGAAUUUCUUAUGCCUACCAGAAGGAAUCCCUUCUGGCUGAUGAGGUU